UAGUGCCGUUUUUUAAUUUUCGUUAUUAAUUGGAAAAUUUUAAAGAACGCUAUAAUCGUAUAAAAACGUACUGAAAGCCAACCCUAAUCCUGUAGCGUUUUUUAUAGGGGAUGACAUCCUUAUCAAAAAACGCUACAUGCCCUGGAAUCGAGGUUGGUUGAGUGCAGAGAAUAUGGAAAGUUAAGCUUUGUCAAAUGUUACUCCUUUAAGGGCCGACACAGUUUGGUCCGAUGUAUUUUUAACGGUUAAUUGUUGUUGUAUUAACUUACCUGACUUUCCUACUCCUCGAGAACCUAGAAGCAAUAAACGAAUAUCAGCUUGACUUUCGCCAUUUUGAUGUUGAUGAUGUGUGUUGGUUGGAGGUAGCAAAUAUAUGAAUUAUUUCGAUUAUGGUACAACCAGAGAGACCUGCGAUUCCACGUUAAUUCGUGUUGGAAACACUGUUAUCAAUGUUGGUCCUGUGUUCGGAAUGUAUACAUUAAGUUUACAUCGGCAUUACCUACCCAAUUUCCCUCACAUGGCAUGGGUUGACCCGUAGCGGUGGUAAAGACACUUGUGAACAUACCCGC